CGGAGGGAUCAUUAAAGAGUUCUAUAACUCCCAAACCCAUGUGAACAUACCUAACGUUGCCUCGGCAGGUCGCACCUACCUUGUAGCACCCUACCCUGUAGGGCCUACCCGGGAGGUGCGGGUAAGCCUGCCGGCGGCCCACCAAACUCUGUUUGAUAUUGAAUUCUGAACCUAUAACUAAAUAAGUUAAAACUUUCAACAACGGAUCUCUUGGUUCUGGCAUCGAUGAAGAACGCAGCGAAAUGCGAUAAGUAAUGUGAAUUGCAGAAUUCAGUGAAUCAUCGAAUCUUUGAACGCAUAUUGCGCCCAUUAGUAUUCUAGUGGGCAGGACCGUUCGAGCGUCAUUUCAACCCUUAAGCCUUCGUUGCUUAGUGUUGGGAGCCUACGGCAACGUAGCUCCUCAAAGUUAGUGGCGGAGUUGGUUCACACUCUAGACGUAGUAAUUUUUUAUCUCGCCUAUUAGUUGGACUAAUCCCCUGCCGUAAAACCCCCAAUUUAUCAAGGUUGACCUCGAAUCGGUUCAGACAAACUCGCUAAAUUGAAGCAUCUUAGUCAGCGAAGGAAAAGAAACCAACAGGGAUUGCCCUAGUAACGGCGAGUGAAGCGGCAACAGCUCAAAUUUGAAAUCUGGCCCU
rnacentral:rRNA from 1 species